rnacentral:rRNA from 1 species
AGAGUUUGAUCCUGGCUCAGGAUGAACGCUAGCUACAGGCUUAACACAUGCAAGUCGAGGGGCAGCAUGGUCUUAGCUUGCUAAGGCCGAUGGCGACCGGCGCACGGGUGAGUAACACGUAUCCAACCUGCCGUCUACUCUUGGACAGCCUUCUGAAAGGAAGAUUAAUACAAGAUGGCAUCAUGAGUUCACAUGUUCACAUGAUUAAAGGUAUUCCGGUAGACGAUGGGGAUGCGUUCCAUUAGAUAGUAGGCGGGGUAACGGCCCACCUAGUCUUCGAUGGAUAGGGGUUCUGAGAGGAAGGUCCCCCACAUUGGAACUGAGACACGGUCCAAACUCCUACGGGAGGCAGCAGUGAGGAAUAUUGGUCAAUGGGCGAUGGCCUGAACCAGCCAAGUAGCGUGAAGGAUGACUGCCCUAUGGGUUGUAAACUUCUUUUAUACGGGAAUAAAGUUAGCCACGUGUGGCUUUUUGUAUGUACCGUAUGAAUAAGGAUCGGCUAACUCCGUGCCAGCAGCCGCGGUAAUACGGAGGAUCCGAGCGUUAUCCGGAUUUAUUGGGUUUAAAGGGAGCGUAGAUGGAUGUUUAAGUCAGUUGUGAAAGUUUGCGGCUCAACCGUAAAAUUGCAGUUGAUACUGGAUAUCUUGAGUGCAGUUGAGGCAGGCGGAAUUCGUGGUGUAGCGGUGAAAUGCUUAGAUAUCACGAAGAACUCCGAUUGCGAAGGCAGCCUGCUAAGCUGCAACUGACAUUGAGGCUCGAAAGUGUGGGUAUCAAACAGGAUUAGAUACCCUGGUAGUCCACACGGUAAACGAUGAAUACUCGCUGUUUGCGAUAUACGGCAAGCGGCCAAGCGAAAGCGUUAAGUAUUCCACCUGGGGAGUACGCCGGCAACGGUGAAACUCAAAGGAAU